CCAAUAAGCGGAGGAAAAGAAACUAACAAGGAUUCCCCUAGUAGCGGCGAGCGAAGCGGGAAGAGCUCAAAUUUAUAAUCUGGCACCUUCGGUGUCCGAGUUGUAAUCUCUAGAAAUGUUUUCCGCGUUGGACCGCACACAAGUCUGUUGGAAUACAGCGGCAUAGUGGUGAGACCCCCGUAUAUGGUGCGGACGCCCAGCGCUUUGUGAUACAUUUUCGAAGAGUCGAGUUGUUUGGGAAUGCAGCUCAAAUUGGGUGGUAAAUUCCAUCUAAAGCUAAAUAUUGGCGAGAGACCGAUAGCGAACAAGUACCGUGAGGGAAAGAUGAAAAGCACUUUGGAAAGAGAGUUAACAGUACGUGAAAUUGUUGGAAGGGAAACGCUUGAAGUCAGACUUGCUUGCCGAGCAAUCGGUUUGCAGGCCAGCAUCAGUUUUCCGGGAUGGAUAAUGGUAGAGAGAAGGUAGCAGUUUCGGCUGUGUUAUAGCUCUCUGCUGGAUACAUCUUGGGGGACUGAGGAACGCAGUGUGCCUUUGGCGGGGGUUUCCACCUCUUCACACUUAGGAUGCGGGUGGAAUGGGGUUUUA
rnacentral:rRNA from 1 species